UACGUAGGGUGCGAGCGUUGUCCGGAUUUAUUGGGCGUAAAGAGCUCGUAGGCGGUUCCGUAAGUCGAUGUGAAAACUCGGGGCUCAACCCCGAGACGCCAUCCGAUACUGCGGUGACUUGAGUCUGGUAGGGGAACACGGAAUUCCUGGUGUAGCGGUGAAAUGCGCAGAUAUCAGGAGGAACACCGAUGGCGAAGGCAGUGUUCUGGGCCAGUAACUGACGCUGGAGGAGCGAAAGCGUGGGGAGCAAACAGG
rnacentral:rRNA from 1 species